rnacentral:piRNA from 1 species
AGAGUUCACGGCAGUGCAUCAUGUCUCUCU